rnacentral:rRNA from 1 species
UAUGAAGGGGGCUAGCGUUGUUCGGAAUCACUGGGCGUAAAGCGCACGUAGGCGGAUGUGCCAGUCAGGGGUGAAAUCCCGGAGCUCAACUCCGGAACUGCCUCUGAUACAGCACGUCUUGAGUUCGAGAGAGGUGGGUGGAAUUCCUAGUGUAGAGGUGAAAUUCGUAGAUAUUAGGAAGAACACCGGUGGCGAAGGCGGCCCACUGGCUCGAUACUGACGCUGAGGUGGCGAAAAGCGUGGGGAGCAAACAGGG